GAUGAAGAACGUAGCGAAAUGCGAUAAGUAAUGUGAAUUGCAGAAUUCAGUGAAUCAUCGAAUCUUUGAACGCACAUUGCGCCCGCCAGUAUUCUGGCGGGCAUGCCUGUUCGAGCGUCAUUUCAACCAUCAAGCCCCGGGCUUGUGUUGGGGACCUGCGGCUGCCGCAGGCCCUGAAAAACAGUGGCGGGCUCGCUAGUCACCCCGAGCGUAGUAGUUACAUCUCGCUCAGGGCGUGCUGCGGGUUCCGGCCGUUAAAAAGCCUUUUUUACCCAAGGUUGACCUCGGAUCAGGUAGGAAGACCCGCUGAACUUAAUCAUAUCAAUAAGCGGAGGA
rnacentral:misc_RNA from 1 species